rnacentral:rRNA from 1 species
AUUGAACGCUGGCGGCAUGCCUUACACAUGCAAGUCGAACGGCAGCGGGGGAGAAGCUUGCUUUUCCUGCCGGCGAGUGGCGAACGGGUGAGUAAUACAUCGGAACGUACCCAGAAGUGGGGGAUAACGUAGCGAAAGUUACGCUAAUACCGCAUAUUCUGUGAGCAGGAAAGUGGGGGAUCGCAAGACCUCACGCUUUUGGAGCGGCCGAUGUCGGGUUAGCUAGUUGGUGAGGUAAAGGCUCACCAAGGCGACGAUCCGUAGAGGGUCUGAGAGGAUGAUCCGCCACACUGGGACUGAGACACGGCCCAGACUCCUACGGGAGGCAGCAGUGGGGAAUUUUGGACAAUGGGGGCAACCCUGAUCCAGCCAUGCCGCGUGAGUGAAGAAGGCCUUCGGGUUGUAAAGCUCUUUCGCGAGGGAAGAAAGCGCACUGGUUAAUACCUGGUGUGGAUGACGGUACCUUGAUAAGAAGCACCGGCUAACUACGUGCCAGCCGCCGCCGUAACAC